rnacentral:tRNA from 1 species
GAGGGUAUAGCUCAAGUGGUAGAGUGCAUGCCUAGCAUGUUCAAGAUCCUGGGUUCAAUCCCCAGUACCUCCU